CGAUGACCAAAUCUCCUGACGCUCCCAAUUUAAUCAGCAAAGAUGAUAUUUGAAGGAAUUGUUAUCUUGUCUUCAUUUCGUGUUUUCGGAGAGUCUAUUGCUCAUAGAAAGGACAGUUUUGACGAUCUCUUUAACAACGUUUGCUUGACCAUGAUGAUUCACUGGAUGAGGACUCAAAUGCUUUGGAAGAAUUCUAUCGGGAAAGUGGUUGCGUGGAGUACGAUGUUUAUUACGGUGGAAAUUUUCUCCAAAAAGUCUCAGCCAACAGUUUGUGGUGAUUGUCAAAAGCAGUGCCAAGAUCGUGGAGAUUGUUGGGAGCCAGAUAUGCUCCAACGUCUCCCUGGAUAACAAUAAUUGCUGGCUUAGCUCAAAAUGGAACCUUAGAGAGACACAGAUCAUUACAAACGGCGGAGAAGGCAUCAUUUCGAUUCCACGUUUCUGCAUUGGAG